rnacentral:rRNA from 1 species
ACGCUCGACACCUACGGGGGGCAGCAGUGGGGAAUAUUGCACAAUGGAGGAAACUCUGAUGCAGCGAUGCCGCGUGAGGGAAGAAGGUUUUCGGAUUGUAAACCUCUGUCUUUGGGGACGAUAAUGACGGUACCCAAGGAGGAAGCUCCGGCUAACUACGUGCCGNAGCCGCGGUAAUCUGAGCGGGCUGGCAAGGC